rnacentral:tRNA from 1 species
GGGGACAUGGUCUAGUGGUAUGACGGAUCCUUAGCAUGUGAGAAGCUCCGACUUCUACAGCUUGGAUCAGGUCCGGGGUUCGAUUCCCCGUGUCUCCA